rnacentral:rRNA from 1 species
UGGCGACGGGUGAGUAACACGUGAGUAACCUACCUUUCAAAGGGGGAUAACGUCUGGAAACGGACGCUAAUACCGCAUAAUACUAUUUGAGGGCAUCCUUGGAUAGUCAAAGGNGAAAUCCGAUGGGAGAUGGACUCGUGGCUGAUUAGAUAGUUGGCGGGGUAGAGGCCCACCAAGUCGACGAUCAGUAGCCGGACUGAGAGGUUGAACGGCCACAUUGGGACUGAGACACGGCCCAGACUCCUACGGAAGGCAGCAG